rnacentral:rRNA from 1 species
GAUGAACGCUGGCGGCGUGCUUAACACAUGCAAGUCGAGCGGGCGUAGCAAUACGUCAGCGGCAGACGGGUGAGUAACGCGUGGGAACAUACCUUUUGGUUCGGAACAACACAGGGAAACUUGUGCUAAUACCGGAUAAGCCCUUACGGGGAAAGAUUUAUCGCCGAAAGAUUGGCCCGCGUCUGAUUAGCUAGUUGGUGAGGUAACGGCUCACCAAGGCGACGAUCAGUAGCUGGUCUGAGAGGAUGAUCAGCCACAUUGGGACUGAGACACGGCCCAAACUCCUACGGGAGGCAGCAGUGGGAAUAUUGGACAAUGGGCGCAAGCCUGAUCCAGCCAUGCCGCGUGAGUGAUGAAGGCCCUAGGGUUGUAAAGCUC